rnacentral:rRNA from 1 species
CCUACGGGAGGCAGCAGUGGGGAAUAUUGCACAAUGGGGGAAACCCUGAUCCAGCGACGCCGCGUGAGUGAAGAAGUACUUCGGUAUGUAAAGCUCUAUCAGCAGGGAAGAAAAUGACGGUACCUGAGUAAUAAGCCCCGGCUAACUACGUGCCAGCAGCCGCGGUAAUACGUAGGGAGCAAGCGUUAUCCGGAUUUACUGGGUGUAAAGGGAGCGUAGACGGCAGUGCAAGUCUGGAGUGAAAGGCGGGGGCUCAACCCCCGGACUGCUCUGGAAACUGUACGGCUGGAGUGCAGUAGAGGUAAGUGGAAUUCCUAGUGUAGCGGUGAAAUGCGUAGAUAUUAGGAGGAACACCAGUGGCGAAGGCGGCUUACUGGACUGUAACUGACGUUGAGGCUCGAAAGCGUGGGGAGCAAACAGGAUUAGAUACCCGAGUAGUC